AAUAGAUACCCUGGUAGUCCACCCCGUAAACGUUGGGAACUAGUUGUGGGGACCAUUCCACGGUUUCCGUGACGCAGCUAACGCAUUAAGUUCCCCGCCUGGGGAGUACGGCCGCAAGGCUAAAACUCAAAGGAAUUGACGGGGACCCGCACAAGCGGCGGAGCAUGCGGAUUAAUUCGAUGCAACGCGAAGAACCUUACCAAGGCUUGACAUAUACGAGAACGGGCCAGAAAUGGUCAACCCUUUGGACACUCGUAAACAGGUGGUGCAUGGUUGUCGUCAGCUCGUGUCGUGAGAUGUUGGGUUAAGUCCCGCAACGAGCGCAACCCUCGUUCUAUGUUGCCAGCACGUAAUGGUGGGAACUCAUGGGAUACUGCCGGGGUCAACUCGGAGGAAGGUGGGGAUGACGUCAAAUCAUCAUGCCCCUUAUGUCUUGGGCUUCACGCAUGCUACAAUGGCCGGUACAAAGGGCUGCAAUACCGUAAGGUGGAGCGAAUCCCAAAAAGCCGGUCCCAGUUCGGAUUGAGGUCUGCAACUCGACCUCA
rnacentral:rRNA from 1 species